GAGUAACACUGUAUACUGUAGUAUGAACAGGUAUGCUACAGAACAUGUGGCUGAUGCCCUAGCCCAGAGUAACACUGUAUACUGUAGUAUGAACAGGUAUGCUACAGAACAUGUGGCUGAUGCCCUAGCCCAGAGUAACACUGUAUACUGUAGUAUGAACAGGUAUGCUACAGAACAUGUGGCUGAUGCCCUAGCCCAGAGUAACACUGUAUACUGUAGUAUGAAUAGGUAUGCUACAGGACAGGUAUGCUACAGGACAUGUGGCUGAUGCCCUAGCCCAGAGUAACACUGUACACUGUAGUCACUGUGUAGCCUAUGUAGCUAACUGGGUGAAUAGUCUUGUUU
rnacentral:lncRNA from 1 species